UGCUCCAUAUUUAGCUUUGGGCAAAUUGUGUUUCAUCUGUAGAAUACACUCACUUUCCUUAUAUGGCGCAUGCCAAGGCUGCAACGAGAAAAUUAUGAGAAAGUUAGACAUGCAAUGUUCUCCACAUAUGUGAGAUUCCCCUCUUUUGUCCCCUUCUGCCCCAGAGCCUGUGCCUCACCCUGAGAUCCUGGCAAAGUCACAGUCUAUCACACCAGACCUGUGUAACAUCACCCUGGAGUGUAGGGCUCCAGGGACCACAGAGUACCUGAAUGUGACUUGGGAGAGCAAGGGCCUCCUCAGAGAGCUGCAGAGAGAAACACCAGGACCAGCCUCCAACCCCUGGACACUGGCUGUGAACCUGCCCCUGUGCCAGUGCAACACCCACCUCACCUGUGUGGUCAGCAACCAGGCAGAUCAGAAAGCUGCAAUCUUAGACUUUAGAAAAGUCUGUGUCCAAGGUGAGUGGUGAGUGUAGCCUGCAGGAUAGGAGGGGCUGCCCAAUCUCAGGUAGCACUGGGGUCUGAGGGUUCUGGGCUCUCUUCUCUGCCAUGUGCAUUACCACCACCUUCCAUGUGCUCACCACACACAGCAGUGUGGGAGUCACAUCCACCUCCGUUCUGCCUUUAAUCAUCUCUCCCAUCCGUACCCUCCUCGCCGCAUCCCCACCAUGUCCCUGCCGAUUCGGACAGCUCUCCCACCCCAUCCAUCCUCCACUGAACAUCCAGAGUGGGCUUUGGGAGAAGUGGGUCAAAUUGGGUUGUUGUCUGUGUCUUCUGUGUGAUCUGGCCUGCAGUUACUCCCCCAUGGAAUUCGGGGCUCAGAUGCUCCUUUGCCCAUGUUUCUGGCUUCACCUGUGCACUUCACACCAAACUCCUUUCUUUCAUUUCCCAAAAUAUGUCUUGUUUUCCGUAAGCUUCUGAGCUUCAGAACAUGCUGUUUCUUACCCCCAUCAGCCCUCCCACACCCAGUGGCCGACACUUCCUCUUUUAUUCCUUUCCAAGCAUUUCCCUAAGCUAUGACAGGCUUUAUGGGCACAAGACAGAUGCAGUCACACAGGGUCCCACACUUCACAGGAUUCCACAAUGGGUUAAAACUCUGCUAUUCCUUCCUUGAAGUUUUAAUCCUUUUUAAUCAAGGGAAUUUAAAUUUGCAUUGCACAGGGCCCUGAAAAUGAAAAUGAUGUAUCGAGUUCUGCCCUCAGGCCCCACCUCCUUAGGGAGCCACCCACGGCACCUCACACUGAGUAGUAAUGACGUGUUUAUGUCACUGUCUGCCCUGUGGACUGCAAUGUCUUGAUGUUUUCCUUUGGAUCCCUGUGCCAAGCACAGCUCCUGGCAACAUUUGCUCACAAUCAGUGUUCACUGAAUGAAUGAUACCCUGCGUGCAGCCUCAUCCUCUCCAACCCUCCCUCCAGGAGCUGCUGGGGGAUCUGAUGUGUCAGCAUCACUUUAAACUGCCUGUCACCUCCUCUCUCACCCCCAUCCUGGAGUGUUCAGCAUUUAGCAUGACCACAAGGCCCUCUGGGCACAGACUCCUGCCUCCAUCUGACUCCCCUUGCCACAGCUCCUCCCUCCUCCGUCUCUCUCCUGCUACAGCGGGGUGCCGGCAACUCCCAGGGCUCGUGUUUUGACACAAACAUUUCCUGAACUUGGUGCUCCUGUUUCCUUGAAUCCCUACCCUGAAUAUCUGAGAAUCUCACAUUCAGUUUAGCCAGCACCUCCUCUGGGAGGCCCUCCCUGAAGACCUUAUAUAAGGUGGAAACCACUAUUGCAGCUGUGAUCCUUCUGUCUGUAAGUUGGUAUUUUCUGUCUUCCUUCCUGUGUGCUGGGCUGCUGUGGACAUUGUCUUGUGCUUCUCAGCAUCCCUGGUACCAAGCAGCAGCUCCUAACCAGUUGAAUGAAUGGAUCUGCCAUGCUCCUCCCUCUUCAGCUUUGGCACCGGGCUCCUUCCCACUGCUCUACCUGCUUUCUCCCUCUGUCUCCUCUUGGUAAUGAGCAUCUCAAGUUAUCUCCUGCCUUAACAUUUUCCACUCUCCCCAUGUGACAGAAACAGGUUCAUACAAACAGGAUAUGGUUAGACUGCUCCCAGCCAUCCUAGGGGCUGUUGUGAGUAUGCUCUUGGUCCUGGGAACUGGGCUGUGUCUUUUGAAGACAUGUGGGAAGAAGAAGAAGAAGAUGAUGAAUAUAGGAAGAGGCAAGUUGCAUUUCUCCUUCCAUACCCAGACACCUCCCCUGCCUCACUAGAACCUCACCUUCCUUUCUCCUGAAUUUUUCUUCCAGGGAGUGGACUCUGCAGAGGGAUGGUAGGUGUGGCCUUGGCCUUGGGGUUCAUGGCAGUGGGGAGGGAUACAGUUUUCUACGGCACAGAUUCAAGCUUUGAUUUUCUCAGGUAGAGAAUUGUAGGAGAACCAUGGGGUCGAUGAUGAUGUCAAUCAAUAUGAAGAUCUCAGGCAGCAAGUGUCUCCGAAGGGGCAUCAGUGAACAACAUCUGGAAAAAAGCGUCUCUCACUCCUAUCUGCAGUGAGGUUCAUUAUCAUUGACCAGGCCAGGCCAUUAAGAUCAUUCGAUUGGAGGAAGCAAGAGGAUCUGACACUCCCAGGACACCUGUACUCUGAGCCUGAAGCCUGCAGCCCCCGCGUUUCCCAGUGCUGGUUCAGUUCCCAAUGCCCCAUCUGUGUUACUCUGAUCUCAUAGCCACAGUUCUAUGUACCCAUGGCCUGUUUGCAUUCUGUGACACCUCCCAAAGAUGCACUUACACUUGAGCAAAGAUUCUUCCCCUUGUCAUUGACAUUGCUCCUGACCGCUCUCUUUCAGAAGCCUUCCCAAGGGGACCCUGUCUGAUUGCAAAGGUGGCAAAUCCCCACCACCUCUGCCAUGUCACUGGUGUGUGUAAUUCUGAGGACACAAGCCCAGACAUGGGAACUGUGCAGAGGUGUUGACUGUGCUGCAGAGGUGGGACAUAGAACCUGGCUUCUGGAUGAUGAGUUAGAGGAUAUCAUGGGUGGGUAGGAGCCCAUAAAGGAACAGGUCGAGGCUUCCUUUGCAGAUUUUGUGUAGGGCUCCCUUGGGGGUAUCAGGCAGUGUGUGUGUGCAUGCAGGUUGGUGGGUGGGGGAAGGGUGUCUAGUGCACAUUAUACAACUGAACCAAAGCCACCUUUCUUUUCUCCUGUGGAUCCAAACUCAACUUCCUGUAGAGUGGAAAGAGAAUUUUGUAUCAUCUCAAAACCUUCCUCGUCUCUGUGUCUCAGAGAAUGACCCUAAGAGGCCACAGUUGGAGGUUGUCUUAGGAAAACAGCCUCAGCUCUUUCCUUGGCCUAGUAUAGGGCACUUGGCUAUAAGAACAGAAGUGUGAUAUCCUUCCACACCCCCUUGAUGAGGGCUACUUGGGCUCUGAUGGGUGAAGCUGUUGAGAAGGUCUGACCCAGCCCUCUCCAACCUCUUCUUAUUCUGACCCUUAAUACCCCAGUAGCCAUGCUGGCCCCAAACCCUAAGUCAUCCACUUCUUGCUCACUUGCAUCCCUCUGCCUGAAACGAAAGUUCCUUCUCCCUGUUCCUCACCCUCACUCCUGCCUGCUGAAAUACCACUGUGAUGCUCGAAGCUCUUCCCAAGAUGCUUGUUCCAUGGAGCUCUCUGGAUCUCAAAGGUUUAAACAUGAUCUCUCCCACAUCUGACUUUUCUGAACACUUUGGACACUAUGUACAGCUCCUGCCACAGGAACUGUGUCCUGGGAAGGUCAUGUGUCUUCCUGUAGGACUAACCUGGGCUCUCUCAGGAGGAUGUGGGGCUGUGGGGGAAUAGGGCUGAGGAGACAAGUACUUCUUGGUGCAAAGGGUCUGGGCCACCUUGUUCCCAUCCCAUGGGGUCAGCAGAGGCAGAUGCAGCACAGGGGUUACUGACAGACUGUCUGGUGUGGCUCUACUUGGAAACAGGAGUGGACACAAUGACCUCCCUUGACUAUGCAUGGCCCGAGGUCCUAAUUGGAGACUUCCUUACUCCCUUAUCCACCUCUUAUUAUGAACCUGGCCAUUCUUCCACCAUGGUAUGUGGGUGUUUCUUUCCUCCUGAGGGGUCCUCAGCUUCUUGCAGCCUCUGCCUCCUAUUUGAGUCCCAGCUUUUACGCAGAGAUGGGCUAACUCUAGUACCACGAGCUGCUGUGGCAUGUCUGGUGGCCCAGAUCCUUGGGCCUCUUAGUUUCCAUCAUGGCUCAGGUGAGCUCAUUUCCUCAUUGCCACCCACAGAAAACAAAGAUCUGAACAGAGUCCCUGCUAAGAGAUGGAGCACUAGGACAUAAUGCUAGGUGCCUACUGGAUGGUGGGCGGAUGAGGCAGGAGGGAGAAGAUCCAUAGCAGGGCUUCAUUUCUGCCGUCUUUCCCUUUAGGCUGAGCAGAAGGCUAAGGGUGUACCAGUCUCCUCACUGGCUUCCCAGGUGAGUGGACAUUACUGGGUAUCAGUGCACAUUAGCCCUGGGGCAGCGUAAGAUGUGAUCACCCAACUGACCUUCCCAUUGCACCAAAGGCAACAAAAAACCAAACCAAACAAACAAAAAAGAGGAACAAGGCUUUUGAGGUUGUUUGAACCAGUUUUUGUUCCAGGCACUUUGCAAGUAUUAUUCUUUUUAGUUAUUUUUUAAAUACAUUUUUAAUUUUAAAAUA